GGGGAUAAAAUGCCUGAUUUAUGCUGAGGGGGGCACUCCAGGCCACCGGGAAGGGUUGAAGGGAAAGGGACCCAGAGCCUGGGCCCAUGGAACUGAGAGCUGUCCAGGGCCUUUGGUGCUGAAAGCAGGUACCUUACCGGGGUGGAGAGAGGGUAUGGCUCCGGAUCUGAGAAGGAGGAGCUGCCAUUCUCGGCUAAACUUGGACCCCUCUUCCCAUUCAGCAAACGCGUGUUCUCAGAGCCCUCAGCCCCCUCCACCGGCCUCUGGCAAAAGCCACACCCAAGUCCGGUAUCCUGACGCUUGGCUGAGGAUCCAGGGACUCAGCCCUUCUGGGCAGCCCUAACCGAAGGAGUCAAGGGUUUCGGAGGUGCCGGGGAAGGGGAGCGGCAAAUUCACUGUUUGAAUCUAGUCCUCAGUUGCAGGGUGGGUCAGCUGUCAUCCCCCUUCCCGUCCUCUCCCCAAGAGGAAGAGAAAUAUCUGGCACCCAGCCCCGGGUGCGGUUGCAGAGAAGCUCCGGGAAUUUGGGGUUUGGAGGCGACCCUACUCCAAGGAGAUCCUCUCUGGCUGCAAAGGAGAGUCAGCCCCGCAGCCAGGGAAGACCGAAAGGGAGCCCGCAGCCGAAGCAGCGAAGCGCCCGAGUCCUUCAACACAUCCCCGCCUCCACACUCCCGUCAGCCCGGGCCAAGGGGGCGCGCGGUUCCUGGUCGCGAAUUCGGGCAGCCGCCGCCGCUUCCCAUCCCCGCGGGUGGUGCCUCAGUCGCCCGGUCAGCCCCGACCCCUGGCCGCCCCGCUCUCCAGUCAACUUCGCCCCCUACCCGCCCCGCCCCUCGGGGCGCUUACCUCGCU